UCUCCAGUUUCCCCCAUUGUAAAAAUAAUGUGAGAUGCCUUGGAACAUUCUGGUGACUAAUAAUGAUGUACAAUGGAAAUGACAUUUCAUUACUUAGAUAAAAUGGAUUCAGUGGACUGAUUAGCAUAAAUAACUAUGAUGGAAAACCUUUGAAGGCAGGCAGGAUAGCAGCUCUUGAAGGAAGAUGGUCAAAUAAAUCUUCAACCAAGUCUGAGGCUUUACCAAGAAAUUAAGAAGGUUCUUCUGUGAUAUGUUUUCAUGGUGUGGGAAUAAGACUUGGUGGUCUAAUACAGCUAAUACAAAGGUUAGCAUCACAGCUUGUCUGUAAGGAUUGAAGCUGGGAGUGGGCAUUGGAGCGGACUUUUAUGAUAACUGUGGCUGCAUAAGAUGGUAGUGUUAUAUAACUGCAACAGUAAAGAAUGUAAUUCAGACUAUUUUUGGGUAUGCUCGAAAAAAUGUUUAUAA